GGGGACCCGCACAAGCGGUGGAGCAUGUGGUUUAAUUCGAAGCAACGCGAAGAACCUUACCAAAUCUUGACAUCCUUUGACAACUCUAGAGAUAGAGCUUUCCCCUUCGGGGGACAAAGUGACAGGUGGUGCAUGGUUGUCGUCAGCUCGUGUCGUGAGAUGUUGGGUUAAGUCCCGCAACGAGCGCAACCCUUAAGCUUAGUUGCCAUCAUUAAGUUGGGCACUCUAAGUUGACUGCCGGUGACAAACCGGAGGAAGGUGGGGAUGACGUCAAAUCAUCAUGCCCCUUAUGAUUUGGGCUACACACGUGCUACAAUGGACAAUACAAAGGGCAGCGAAACCGCGAGGUCAAGCAAAUCCCAUAAAGUUGUUCUCAGUUCGGAUUGUAGUCUGCAACUCGACUACAUGAAGCUGGAAUCGCUAGUAAUCGUAGAUCAGCAUGCUACGGUGAAUACGUUCCCGGGUCUUGUACACACCGCCCGUCACACCACGAGAGUUUGUAACACCCGAAGCCGGUGGAGUAACCUUUUAGGAGCUAGCCGUCGAAGGUGGGACAAAUGAUUGGGGUGAAGUCGUAACAAGGUAGCCGUAUCGGAAGGUGCGGCUGGAUCACCUCCUUUCUAAGGA
rnacentral:rRNA from 1 species